UCCCCGUGCUCUCAGGGCCUGCGGGUCGCCCCGUCCAGCAGGGACAGCGAAGGCUGGAGUUGACUCCCGGGUCUGGACCGGGACCUCUGGGGAAAUGUUACAGCCGUGUUCAGGGUGGGGGGCAGGUGCCCUGUGUGCGGUCAUGGCCAUCACGCAGGGCCACGUGGCACUGCUGGGUACCUCUGUGGGUGGGACCACCCAAGUGGCAGCCCUGAGUCACACCAGGGUGACUUCCACUGUGGCGGUGAGGAUCCAGUGGGAGGAUGCUCUCUGCCCCGAGCAGUGCCACCCGCGGCAGUCCGUGGCACUUGCUGACUGUCACCCUGUGGAGGACAGCAGGGUGUCCUGAUUUUGGUGCCUGCAGACCGACAAUGGCUGCAGAGGUGGGUGCUGCCCACGGCCGGCGUGUGAGCGGCUUCAGCUGGUUCAGGGAAAAGUCGGUUAAGGUGCGAGUUUGUUUUGGUGGGAAAACGACGACCAUCUCGCAGUGCACAGUUCCAUGAACCUUCUUUGCCCCCUCAUACGCAAAGGGGAAGAGGCAGGGGCACCCCUGCUUUAUUCUCUGAGCCCCAGGACAGUCCUCCUUGGGGGGGAGGGCUCCAUUUUAAGGAAUUCUUCAUCUGGCUGUUAAAGAAAAUUGACGCUCUCUGUGCCAGAAACCCCUGAGCCAAGGAACCGCGGCCUCUCCCAGUGUGCUCAGGUGACAGAGCUACUGCAGUGUGUCCUCAGCAGUCUGCCGUCACAGAGACUAGGCCCAGUGCCCCCUCCCGCCACACGCACACCGCUUUGAAGAUACAAGGCAGAAUAAUUGGCCCAUGGACACUCAAGGUUUUCAGUGACAGGCUCUGCCAGGGGCAGUGACAGCCGAAGGCGCAGGUUCCAUUUCACGGUAACGAAAAGCCCUCUGUCGGGACGGAUCUCCCGACCUGCGGGCACACUAAGACCCGCUGGACUGUGAGACACACAGACAAGCCCAAAUACAGGCUGUCCGCGGUAUGGCGUCCAGACUGGCCCUUGGGACAGAGGCCAGUGGAGUCUGACUGGAGCCCGCGGCUGAGCUGAUGGCAACGUGCCUUGUCAGCCCCCUCGUGACAGGUAUGUGUGAGGUGUGAGGCGUCCACAGCUGGGAAAGUAGUGUGUGUCUGUGGGGGUGCUGGGGGGAUAUAUAGACACUCUGGUACUGUCUCUUGUGACUUUUCCAUAAAUCUAAAACUUCCAAACUAGGACUUUUGUUUAACAGUGGAGCAGCAGCAUAGCCUGGUCACUAAGGGAGCCCGAUCCCCGGGACUGAGCACGGUUCCAGUUUCUGCCCUGGUGCGGAGAAGAGCGUGCAGGGCACCUGUGCGCCUCCAGUCCAGACAGGACGGGAAUGGGGCCGAGGGGUCACGGACUGACCCCGUCCCACCGGGGUGGGGGCUUCCUCUCCCCCCCACCAGCGUGUGUGCCCUCCGGCAAUGACAAAAACAGUAAUAGGACACAAGGGUCUUACCGCCACCGCACCGCCACCGCCUGUUUUCGUGCGGUCACUACCGGCUUCUCUGACGAGCACUCUGGUGCCUUUCUGCGCCCUACAGGUGCCUCGCACCGGCGGCUUCCCUUUCUUUCCCCUUUUUUAGGUUAAUAUAAUCCCAUAAGUUAUGUGGCUGCAUCAUGCUCAUAGUUAAAGCCUUUCUGGUCGCAGGGUGUGCCGUUUCCCAAGUGUGCUCUAAUGUACUGCAUGUUCCCCUGUUCUUGGCCUCUCGAGUUGCUUCCAAUUUUAUUUUUAUAAACCAUGUUCCAACCAGUGUUUCGCUACACGCAGCUUCUUUCUCUUUUAGUUCUCUAGAGUGUGUCCUCAGGAGGCGGGUUCCAGAGUUACAGAUGGAGUGACAUUUUUGAAGGGUCCAAGCUGUCAGAGUGCCUGGACCAAGCAAAUGCUCACUACAUGUCGCCCACCUCAUCGUGACCAGCACUACAGUGUAGCCCACUGCCACUGUCUGGCUCGGGGGCCCUGACUUUGGAAGCCACGUACCCAGCCCUGCAGGCCGCUUUCUCCAGGCCCGUUGGCCUUUAAUGGCUAACUAGCUUUGAGGGGUCACCUUUGGCAGCAGAACGGAAAGUGUGAAAGGGCGUAGGUUCCACCAGGGUCUCCGGUGUCCUCCCAGGGCCAGGCAGAGGAAGACCUGGGGACGCGGGUCUUGAUGCACGCAUUCGGCUCUGCCUUUCAAACCUUGCCAUUGCUGUUCUCUUUCCAUUAAAAGAAAGGAAAAAGUACUCGUCA